ensembl:lncRNA
CACACACACUCCUCCGUAUAUGAACAGUAUAUGUCCCGAGUUUGAUAGUUUAUAAUGGGAUUGUAGUUUAGGAGGGUCUAAACCCUGCAAUGCAUUUGCAUUCUGUAAAGGGGCCAUGUCAGGCAGCGUUUUAAAAUAUAAGUAGCACGUGCGCUCACACACACGCACACGCGCACAGCUCUAUGAGUUUGAUGGAGCGAAUACGUAACACGUGAACCACCCCCACUAUAUGUCGUCCUCCUAAACUCUAACCAGCAUGUAAAUCGUGAACCUAUGUGAGUUUGUGACUGGAUGUGUGUAUGUGUGCUGGGUUUUUAGGGAAACGCCCACCGUACGUGAACGCCCCCAAUCGUGGGAUCGCGAGGCUCCGAUAGGUCGGCGCAGGAGAUUCUCGGGCUUUAUAAAGGACCAGGUUGCGACCAGUUGCCCUGCUGCUGCUUUCGCUUAUUUCUGUCUUAAUUCCAUCUUUUGUACCUCCGUUACCACCAUGCCCAGCAACCAUAAGAAGAACAAGCGCCGCAUGAGGAAAAAGUUCCUCGCCGGCCAAACAGAAGCUGCAGAGAUCAAGAAACUGCAGGAGUCUGCUUUGAUUCUGCCAGGGCAGAAGAUUGUAUUUCCAGCUUCUCUGAUCACGCCAGUGAGAGAAGUGAAGCCUGUGGUCUUGGUCAAAGAACAUGUCAAUGUUCCCAAAGCUGCCAAGGUUGCCAAACCCCGAAAGCCAGUGCAAGCAGAUGUUAUUGAUGGGAUCAGCGCAAAGGCACCAAAGGCCAAACCUGCAGCAGCUGUGGUGGCAGCCGUAGUCGCCGAAGCCAUAGCCCCAGCAGAGAAGGCAGUUUGCAAACCUGUGCAGGCACCAGUUGCUGAAACCAAAGUAGCAGCUGAAGUAACGGCAGAGGAGGCUGUUGCCGCACCAGUGGUAGCAGAGGAGGCUGUUGCCGCACCAGUGGUAGCAGAGGAGGCUGUUGCCGCACCAGUGGUAGCAGAGGAUGCUGUUGUAGCAGCUGAAGUAACGGCAGAGGAGAUUGUGGUAGCAGCAGCAGAGGAGGCUGUGGCUGUACCAGUGUUGGCCGCUGAAACCGAAGCCACACCAGAACCCAUAGCAGUAGCAGAUCCAGUAGUGGUGGAGGCUGUGGUCGCUGAAACCGAAGCAACACCAGAACCAGCAGCAGAGGAGGCAGUUACUGAAAUUGAAGUCCUACCUGAGCCAGCCACAGUGGAGGAGGCGGUUAUCGAUGCUGUGUGUGCCGCAGUUUCCGAAAUCGAAGUCUUGCCAGCAGCAGUGGAGGGGGUGGUUAUCGAUACCGUGAUUGCCGCGGUUACAGAAACCGAAGUCACACCAGAAACGGCAGCCGUGGAGGAUGUUAGUGAAACAGUCUCAGCCGUGGCAACAGAAACCGAAGUCGUAGCGGAAACCACAGUGGAAGCAGAGUCGGGAGUUGAGGCUUCUUUGGAAAUUGAAGCUGUUGUUGAGGAGGUGGCUGUAGCGUGCGAAAGUGAGCCAUCCGUGGUGGCUGAAGUGCAGGUUGAAGAGAAGAGCGUCGAGGAGGUGGUGGUGUUGACUGAACAAGUUGUCACAAUAGAUGAAAACACAGAGAGCACACUAGAGGUAUUGGCAGAAGACCUCUGUCACCUCGAGCAGAAGGCUUUCAUCGAAGAGCCUUGUCUGACAGAGCUUCCAACAAAGACCAUGACAAUGGAGAUUUCCCCACUGGAAGGCCUGGUUUCUGCUCAGACUCCGGUUGAUUUACAUUGAGAACUCGGGCCACGUUGAGAUCUGCAUGUGAUGCGAUGCAGAUUAAAUUGACGGGACGGAAGACUCUAUCCAGGGGCUGAGCAGUCACACUCUACCCUAUCCAUUUAUCAAAGGGUUUAAACACAGAACUUUCAAACAAUAAUCACACUAAAGUGCCUUCUUAUAAAGUAACAUGAAGUUCUCCAAGGAAUCGACUCGUCUUCGGCCCUGUCGGGUAUAAUCUGGACCAACGGGUAUCUUUAAAGGAUGCACAUGGGUUGCGGGGGUUGAUUAGGAUACAUAUGGCUUUGUUAGGGUACAUGUGGGGUAGAACACAUAGAAGGUCCGAUACAUGGUCACACCCGAGGCUCGUUGCCACGGAGACAGUGUUCACUGUUGAAGAUGCUAUACCAGCAAGGCGCAUCAAUCAAGUCCAUUUUUUCCUCGUUUUUAUUCCCCGUUUUUUUUUCUUUCACCUUUUCUAUACUGUGUUUUAUAUAAUCCAUACAAUGUGCUUUAGCAAAGCCCAGAAAAAGUGAUGGGGUUUUGUUGGUUGGGACAGAAGAACUUUCAUCUUUAUGAAAUAAAUGAAGCUGUAACUCAACUGAAUAAAGAUUACAAAUGUGAUAUUGAUAAUGUUAUUUCUUUGGUUUUGCUGGUUGCGGUACCUUCAUUUUGAUUACUAAAUCAGGGGGAGAGAAGGUAGAGCAGGCAAGCUGGGGAUCUGGAGAGUUACUGUAAAGAUGCUCUUUGAUUAUUCACUGCCUAAAAUGUUGGUGUCCAACUGACACAAGACCUCACCUACAUACAAACACAGUGGCCUCUUGCUAUAUGCUGAUCAACGUACACAAGGUGGUUUGUUAAGGGAAAAUCCAACAUUGGGACAAUUGUGUAACCCUGCCC